UUCUUCUCUAUAUCUGAUUUAUCCUAAACUUCUUUUGUAGGACAAACGAAUACGAAGUCGAUUUGGGGCUUUUUAGGUGGAGCAAAUCGAGAAUUUGCAAACCGUGGAGUUGGGGGAUCGAUCAAUUUUUGUUGCUGAUGACGACGACGUUAAGGUACCAUCUCCAGCAGAACUACCAAGAGGACAGAGCGGUGGCUGCUCGGAGGACAAAUUGUUUAAGAUAAUAUAUCUUGACCAAUUUUAUGUAAGAUAAUCUAAUUAUUAUAAUUUUAUUGAGAUAUUCAAUUUUUAGAUAUAGUCAAUUAAAAAUUUGUGAAUAUCAUUAUUAAAUUAAUUAAUUGAAAUAUCAUUAUUAUUAAACGGUAUGUGAAAAGCUUUGAUUUUUUCAGUUUUGCACUUCAUUUUGGUUGAUAUUUUGAAUAACCCAUUUGCCAAUUGGGUUAAAUUUGCUAUUUUUGUGAUGUUUAAUGCUUGGAUGUUCAUGGGUUUGUUGUAAAUUUAGCUGCUAGGUAUACCCCAGAUCAGAUUAGGAAAAUGGAAGAAUCAAUUCAAAUUCGAAAAGCCUCUGAACCCCUUGAGCUUAUAAAACUGGCAACAUUUU
rnacentral:lncRNA from 1 species